rnacentral:tRNA from 1 species
GGGACGAUAGCUUAGUCGGUUAGAGCAGGCGACUCAUAAUCGCCAGGUCGCAGGUUCGAGUCCUGCUCGUCCCACCA